UACCUGUAGGGGGAGAAGAGCAGUGUAGACUGGAAGGAUCUGAACCUGGUUCUGCCCGGUUUGGAGUAUCAUAACAACACCUGGACCUGGCUGGACUUUGCUAUGGCUGUGAAGAGAGACAGUCGUAAGGCACUGGUCGCACAGAUGAUAAAGGAGAAGCUGCGGUUGAAACCCGCCUCGGGCUCAGAGUCUCGAGGUAAAGUGACGGAUGGGAAAACAGACAGCAGCCUCCAGCAGCAGGUGGAGGACGAGAAAGCAAGGCUUCUGAUCGGCUUCAGCACCGCCGACAAGAGCUCCAGCAAAAAGAGCAUCUUCAGUCGCCGCAAGUGAAGCUCCUUCACAGAGAUGCUGGUCUUGAAGAAGCGUUGCUGAACCUUACCGAGAUCCAGUCUGCAGGAGAAGGGAUGGAAGAUAACUAAACCAAGUCCGAGGUCUCUCUCCUCUUCACCAGUGGUGCCUUUAAAUGUCCGCGCUGGGUGUGGACGCGCAAGCCAUGACUGCAGGUGCUGGUCCUGCUAUGGAAGAAGGGAUUGUCAUUCUACUGUCUAAAAUGAGUGCUGUACACCUAACAUAAGUUUUAAUGUGCUGCUUUUGUGCCAUACAUCAUUUCAACAUAUUUCAAUUAACUACAUACAGCAUUAAACCAUCUUUAUCAAGUCAAGCUCAAGCUCAAGACAGUGUCCUACAAUUCAACGGUUCAUCUCUGUUUUGUGUUUGGAGCAUUGUGACGUCUCUCCUGCUGGAUCAGGAGAUUCUUGUAGGCCAGAAUCUUGAAGGAGCCACAUGGAAAAGCAAGAAGAAUCUGAAAUUCACAUAUACUGGAAGCCCAUAUUAUCCCACAAUUAGUGAAAGUCACUGAAAAGAAUCAAGAAUUUGGCCUCAUUUGAGCUCAGUGUUAAAUUGGACAUGAUAUUAGCUAGCUGACCACUGUUUUACUGUACUAACUACUAGGAUCUUCUGCUUGUGGAGCAGUGGGGCAUCAUGGGAAGCACCUUGUUUUAUGCCAUAUUUGCACCCUGUCUGAUUGAUGCUUUGUCAUUUUAACUCUAUGGCACUUUUUACACAAAGUAUUUUCUGAUAUUUUUGUAUCUGUGGUUAUCUUCUGUAUCAUUUCAAUAAUGUCUGAGAUGCUGCUGAUUCUAGCUUGUCAGCUUCAAAAAUGAAAGAUUUUAUUA